UACGGGGGGAGCAAGCGUUGUUCGGAUUUACUGGGCGUAAAGGGCGCGUAGGCGGUCAGCACAAGUCAGUUGUGAAAUCUCCGAGCUUAACUCGGAAAGGUCAACUGAUACUGUGCGACUAGAGUGCGGAAGGGGCAACUGGAAUUCUUGGUGUAGCGGUGAAAUGCGUAGAUAUCGGGAGGAACACCAGAGGCGAAAGCGGCGGCCUGGACAGGUACUGACACUCAACUGCGAAAGCGUGGGGAUCAAACAGG
rnacentral:rRNA from 1 species